GGUUAAGCGACUAAGCGUACACGGUGGAUGCCCUGGCAGUCAGAGGCGAUGAAGGGCGUGCUAAUCUGCGAUAAGCGCCGGUAAGGUGAUAUGAACCGUUAUAACCGGCGAUACCCGAAUGGGGAAACCCAGUGUGAUUCGUCACACUAUCAUUAACUGAAUCCAUAGGUUAAUGAGGCGAACCGGGGGAACUGAAACAUCUAAGUACCCCGAGGAAAAGAAAUCAACCGAGAUUCCCCCAGUAGCGGCGAGCGAACGGGGAGGAGCCCAGAGCCUGAAUCAGCAUGUGUGUUAGUGGAAGCGUCUGGAAAGGCGCGCGAUACAGGGUGACAGCCCCGUACACAAAAGCGCAUGUGCUGUGAGCUCGAUGAGUAGGGCGGGACACGUGGUAUCCUGUCUGAAUAUGGGGGGACCAUCCUCCAAGGCUAAAUACUCCUGACUGACCGAUAGUGAACCAGUACCGUGAGGGAAAGGCGAAAAGAACCCCGGCGAGGGGAGUGAAAAAGAACCUGAAACCGUGUACGUACAAGCAGUGGGAGCACAGGUUUACCUGUGUGACUGCGUACCUUUUGUAUAAUGGGUCAGCGACUUAUAUUCUGUAGCAAGGUUAACCGAAUAGGGGAGCCGGAGGGAAACCGAGUCUUAAUUGGGCGUUAAGUUGCAGGGUAUAGACCCGAAACCCGGUGAUCUAGCCAUGGGCAGGUUGAAGGUUGGGUAACACUAACUGGAGGACCGAACCGACUAAUGUUGAAAAAUUAGCGGAUGACCUGUGGCUGGGGGUGAAAGGCCAAUCAAACCGGGAGAUAGCUGGUUCUCCCCGAAAGCUAUUUAGGUAGCGCCUCGUGAAUUCAUCUCCGGGGGUAGAGCACUGUUUCGGCUAGGGGGCCAUCCCGGCUUACCAACCCGAUGCAAACUGCGAAUACCGGAGAAUGUUAUCACGGGAGACACACGGCGGGUGCUAACGUCCGUCGUGAAGAGGGAAACAACCCAGACCGCCAGCUAAGGUCCCAAAGUCAUGGUUAAGUGGGAAACGAUGUGGGAAGGCCCAGACAGCCAGGAUGUUGGCUUAGAAGCAGCCAUCAUUUAAAGAAAGCGUAAUAGCUCACUGGUCGAGUCGGCCUGCGCGGAAGAUGUAACGGGGCUAAACCAUGCACCGAAGCUGCGGCAGCGAACGUAUCACUUAAAGCGAUUCAGCGGGUUACGAUUGACGGAGCGAAGCGACGUCAAAGCGUAUACAAAGUCGAGUCGGUUUAAGGAUACGUUCGUUGGGUAGGGGAGCGUUCUGUAAGCCUGUGAAGGUGGCCUGUGAGGGUUGCUGGAGGUAUCAGAAGUGCGAAUGCUGACAUAAGUAACGAUAAAGCGGGUGAAAAGCCCGCUCGCCGGAAGACCAAGGGUUCCUGUCCAACGUUAAUCGGGGCAGGGUGAGUCGACCCCUAAGGCGAGGCCGAAAGGCGUAGUCGAUGGGAAACGGGUUAAUAUUCCCGUACUUGGUGUUACUGCGAAGGGGGGACGGAGAAGGCUAUGUUGGCCGGGCGACGGUUGUCCCGGUUUAAGCGUGUAGGCUGGUUUUCCAGGCAAAUCCGGAAAAUCAAGGCUGAGGCGUGAUGACGAGGCACUACGGUGCUGAAGCAACAAAUGCCCUGCUUCCAGGAAAAGCCUCUAAGCAUCAGGUAACAUCAAAUCGUACCCCAAACCGACACAGGUGGUCAGGUAGAGAAUACCAAGGCGCUUGAGAGAACUCGGGUGAAGGAACUAGGCAAAAUGGUGCCGUAACUUCGGGAGAAGGCACGCUGACACGUAGGUGAAGUGAUUUACUCAUGGAGCUGAAGUCAGUCGAAGAUACCAGCUGGCUGCAACUGUUUAUUAAAAACACAGCACUGUGCAAACACGAAAGUGGACGUAUACGGUGUGACGCCUGCCCGGUGCCGGAAGGUUAAUUGAUGGGGUCAGCGCAAGCGAAGCUCCUGAUCGAAGCCCCGGUAAACGGCGGCCGUAACUAUAACGGUCCUAAGGUAGCGAAAUUCCUUGUCGGGUAAGUUCCGACCUGCACGAAUGGCGUAAUGAUGGCCAGGCUGUCUCCACCCGAGACUCAGUGAAAUUGAACUCGCUGUGAAGAUGCAGUGUACCCGCGGCAAGACGGAAAGACCCCGUGAACCUUUACUAUAGCUUGACACUGAACAUUGAGCCUUGAUGUGUAGGAUAGGUGGGAGGCUUUGAAGUGUGGACGCCAGUCUGCAUGGAGCCGACCUUGAAAUACCACCCUUUAAUGUUUGAUGUUCUAACGUGGACCCGUGAUCCGGGUUGCGGACAGUGUCUGGUGGGUAGUUUGACUGGGGCGGUCUCCUCCUAAAGAGUAACGGAGGAGCACGAAGGUUGGCUAAUCCUGGUCGGACAUCAGGAGGUUAGUGCAAUGGCAUAAGCCAGCUUGACUGCGAGCGUGACGGCGCGAGCAGGUGCGAAAGCAGGUCAUAGUGAUCCGGUGGUUCUGAAUGGAAGGGCCAUCGCUCAACGGAUAAAAGGUACUCCGGGGAUAACAGGCUGAUACCGCCCAAGAGUUCAUAUCGACGGCGGUGUUUGGCACCUCGAUGUCGGCUCAUCACAUCCUGGGGCUGAAGUAGGUCCCAAGGGUAUGGCUGUUCGCCAUUUAAAGUGGUACGCGAGCUGGGUUUAGAACGUCGUGAGACAGUUCGGUCCCUAUCUGCCGUGGGCGCUGGAGAACUGAGGGGGGCUGCUCCUAGUACGAGAGGACCGGAGUGGACGCAUCACUGGUGUUCGGGUUGUCAUGCCAAUGGCACUGCCCGGUAGCUAAAUGCGGAAGAGAUAAGUGCUGAAAGCAUCUAAGCACGAAACUUGCCCCGAGAUGAGUUCUCCCUGAGACUUAGAGUCUCCUGAAGGAACGUUGAAGACGACGACGUUGAUAGGCCGGGUGUGUAAGCGCAGCGAUGCGUUGAGCUAACCGGUACUAAUGAACCGUGAGGCUUAACCUU
rnacentral:rRNA from 2 species